GCGCACGGGUGAGUAACGCGUAUGCAACUUACCUAUCAGAGGGGGAUAGCCCGGCGAAAGUCGGAUUAAUACCCCAUAAAACAGGGGUCCCGCAUGGGAAUAUUUGUUAAAGAUUCAUCGCUGAUAGAUAGGCAUGCGUUCCAUUAGGCAGUUGGCGGGGUAACGGCCCACCAAACCGACGAUGGAUAGGGGUUCUGAGAGGAAGGUCCCCCACAUUGGUACUGAGACACGGACCAAACUCCUACGGGAGGCAGCAGUGAGGAAUAUUGGUCAAUGGCCGAGAGGCUGAACCAGCCAAGUCGCGUGAAGGAAGAAGGAUCUAUGGUUUGUAAACUUCUUUUAUAGGGGAAUAAAGUGGAGGACGUGUCCUUUUUUGUAUGUACCCUAUGAAUAAGCAUCGGCUAACUCCGUGCCAGCAGCCGCGGUAAUACGGAGGAUGCGAGCGUUAUCCGGAUUUAUUGGGUUUAAAGGGUGCGUAGGUGGUGAUUUAAGUCAGCGGUGAAAGUUUGUGGCUCAACCAUAAAAUUGCCGUUGAAACUGGGUUACUUGAGUGUGUUUGAGGUAGGCGGAAUGCGUGGUGUAGCGGUGAAAUGCAUAGAUAUCACGCAGAACUCCGAUUGCGAAGGCAGCUUACUAAACCAUAACUGACACUGAAGCACGAAAGCGUGGGGAUCAA
rnacentral:rRNA from 1 species